GAGGAAUAUUGGACAAUGGGUGGGAGCCUGAUCCAGCCAUUCCGCGUGCAGGAAGAAGGUCUUAUGGAUUGUAAACUGCCUUUAUAUAGGGAUAAACCUACUCUCGAGAGGGUAGCUGAAGGUACUAUAUGAAUAAGCACCGGCUAACUCCGUGCCAGCAGCCGCGGUAAUACGGAGGGUGCAAGCGUUAUCCGGACUUAUUGGGUUUAAAGGGUCCGUAGGCGGGUUAUUAAGUCAGUGGUGAAAUCUCAUAGCUCAACUAUGAAACUGCCAUUGAUACUGAUAGUCUUGAGUAUAUUUGAAGUAGCUGGAAUAAGUAGUGUAGCGGUGAAAUGCAUAGAUAUUACUUAGAACACCAAUAGCGAAGGCAGGUUACUAAGAUAUUACUGACGCUGAGGGACGAGAGCGUAGGGAGCGAACAGGAUUAGAUACCCUGGUAGUCUACGCUGUAAACGAUGCUAACUCGUUUUUGGUAUUUAGGUAUCAGAGACUAAGCGAAAGUGAUAAGUUAGCCACCUGGGGAGUACGCUCGCAAGAGUG
rnacentral:rRNA from 1 species